CUGACCUGGAUCAACGCAACGGACACCGUAUCGAAAGAUAAACAGGGGAAGAAUGACAUAACAAAAAAAAACUACGAGAAAGGUUUGGUGAAGCGAUCGAUGGGUCUCCAUACCUUAUAGCUUCCGCGGUGAAGAAGGUGUCCGGCCUUGUUCCGAGCUUCAUGAACUUCAUCCUGGACCAGCUAUAGGUCCCCUGCUCGGUGUGUUGAUGAUAUAAGCGGACGAAUCCGAGGAGGAGGGGUGGGUGCAGCGCUGAGGUUUGGUUGAGACUCGAAGAAUUAGGUGUCGGGAUGCUCAGUCCCCUGCUUCUACAGUAAACAGCAGCUACA